GACGAACGCUGGCGGCGUGCUUAACACAUGCAAGUCGAACGAUGAAGCCGGAGCUUGCUCUGGUGAAUUAGUGGCGAACGGGUGAGUAACACGUGAGUAACCUGCCCUUGACUCUGGGAUAACUGCGGGAAACUGUAGCUAAUACCGGAUACGACCCUCGGAGGCAUCUCCUGGGGGUGGAAAGAAUUUCGGUCAAGGAUGGACUCGCGGCCUAUCAGCUAGUUGGUGAGGUAAAGGCUCACCAAGGCGACGACGGGUAGCCGGCCUGAGAGGGUGACCGGCCACACUGGGACUGAGACACGGCCCAGACUCCUACGGGAGGCAGCAGUGGGGAAUAUUGCACAAUGAGCGCAAGCCUGAUGCAGCAACGCCGCGUGAGGGAUGACGGCCUUCGGGUUGUAAACCUCUUUUAGUAGGGAAGAAGCGAAAGUGACGCUACCUGCAGAAAAAGCACCGGCUAACUACGUGCCAGCCGCCGCAGUAA
rnacentral:rRNA from 1 species